GUGCAUGGCCGUCGACAGUUCGUGCCGUGAGGUGUCCUGUUAAGUCAGGCAACGAACGAGACCCUUGCCAUUAGUUGCCAGCGGAACCCUAACAGGUUGCCGGGCACACUAAUGGGACUGCCACUGAUAAAGUGGAGGAAGGCGAGGGCAACGGCAGGUCAGUAUGCCCCGAAUCUCCCGAGCCACACGCGGGCUGCAAUGGCUAGGACAAUGGGUUCCAACACCGAGAGGUGAAGGUAAUCCCACAAACCUAGUCUCAGUUGGGAUCGAGGGCUGCAACUCGCCCUCGUGAACAUGGAAUCCCUAGUAAUCGCGUGUCAUCAUCGCGCGGUGAAUACGUCCCUGCUCCUUGCACACACCGCCCGUCGCUCCAUCCGAGUGGGGUUUGGACGAGGCGCAGUCCCUUGGGCUGCGUCGAAUCCUGGCUCCGCGAGGAGGGAGAAGUCGUAACAAGGUAGCCGUAGGGGAACCUGCGGCUGGAUCACCUCCU
rnacentral:rRNA from 1 species